AGGACGAACGCUGGCGGCGUGCCUAACACAUGCAAGUCGAGCGGGGUUGAGGCGAGAGGUAACUCGAGCUUCUACCUAGCGGCGGACGGGUGAGUGACGCGUGGGCAACCUGCCUCAAGGUUUGGGAUAACAGCCCGAAAGGGCUGCUAAUACCGGAUAUGCCUAUGGCCUCGCAUGGGGCUAUGAGCAAAGGGGAAACCCGCCUUGAGAUGGGCCCGCGUCCCAUCAGCUAGUUGGUGAGGUAACAGCUCACCAAGGCGACGACGGGUAGCCGGCCUGAGAGGGUGACCGGCCACACUGGGACUGAGACACGGCCCAGACUCCUACGGGGGGCAGCAGUGGGGGAUCUUGCACAAUGGGCGAAAGCCUGAUGCAGCGACGCCGCGUGAGCGAAGAAGGCCUUCGGGUUGUAAAGCUCUGUCUGGAGGGACGAACAAAAUGACGGUACCUCCGGAGGAAGCCACGGCUAACUACGUG
rnacentral:rRNA from 1 species